UACGUAGGGGGCUAGCGUUGUCCGGAAUUACUGGGCGUAAAGGGCUCGUAGGCGGCCAACUAAGUCGGACGUGAAAUCCCCAGGCUCAACCUGGGAACUGCGUCUGAUACUGGAUGGCUUGAAUCCGGGAGAGGGAUGCAGAAUUCCAGGUGUAGCGGUGAAAUGCGUAGAUAUCUGGAGGAAUACCGGUGGCGAAGGCGGCAUCCUGGACCGGCAUUGACGCUGAGGAGCGAAAAGCUAGGGGAGCAAACGGG
rnacentral:rRNA from 1 species